GAGGGUAUAGCUCAGGGGCAGCGCCUGCUUAGCAUGCAUGAGGUCCUGGGUUCAAUCCCCAAUGCCACCA
rnacentral:tRNA from 1 species